GUUGAUAUUUCAUAUACCUUAAUUUUUAUCUAAUUAAUGAUGUACAAUAUUGUAAUAUUAUAAUAUUGUAUUUUGCUUGAACGAGGAACUAUUACCAAAUCAGCUGUCAUAUUACAGCUCUUCACUGAGAACACAUGUGCCUAAAAUGCAUACUUAUGUGUUGACCGGGGCGAUAUUCUGUGCAUAUUUGAAAAAAUACUAUGAAGAACACAAGGCACAAGGGGCAUGGUGAUGGCAGGGUCGGAGAGAGGAUAGUUGUUUGAGUGAGGCACCCAUGUCAACGGGACUGAUGUUGCAACAAAGCUAACUGACGUGCAACUACAAUGCAAGUGGCAAACAGAAGGACAGCACGUCAUUUACUUGAGUGGGGCAGGGGAAUGUUGCAGAGACCAAAGUGUCAACUGCAAGUGAGGCGCACGACGAGCAACGUAGCUGCAUCCUGUGAUUUUGUUUGCCACAGUGCGCCGAGUGUCAGCGGGACACACUGCAGACACUGGCCACACUGGACAAACUGGACAAUAGUCAGUCAGACCGGUAGUUGGCAGAACCACUUUCAAUUGAAAUCGACGUGCCUGUUUGCCACAAAACCGUUGAUGAUGGCUAGGUCGGUCACUGGAUCGGUGGGGCACAGUCCGCACUGGACAGUGGGGUGGGGGAAGGGGCCAGCAGGGCAGCGGCCGAAACAAUGCGAAAAAUUGAUUGGCUUGACACAAGCUCACCCACAAAGCUUUUCCAUAUGGUGAACUAAGCGCCCAACUUGGCACAACGUUGACUAUGAUUUUCUAUAAUUGAUGGAUUUCAUUUUGCGCCCAAAACCUGAACACUCGCUACUGAACGUUUGAACGUUGACCAAUUGGGUUGUUCAACAUUUUGGCUAAGUUCCUUGAAAAGCAAUCAGAAUUUUGCUUGGUUUCGUGUGAUAAAGUGGAAGAUACUCUGUGCUUAUAUUUGAAACUAUCGGUUAUUGCCCGGCCUUGUCCGUGGAACGUUUUGUUCUAAAAAUUUAUUAAAUUAAAUAUUUAAAUAUUAUCUUUCCCUAA